GCCAACAUAGUGUAGUGGUUUGAGCAUUAGACUAUGACUCUCAAGAUCAGGGUUCAAAUUCCUGCUCAGCCA